AGAGUUUGAUCCUGGCUCAGGACGAACGCUGGCGGCGUGCUUAAUACAUGCAAGUCGAGCGGACCUUUGCCGUUUGUUGCCGGUUUCCGGCGACAAAUGGCAAAGGUUAGCGGCGAACGGGUGAGUAACGCGUGGGUAAUCUGCCCCCAAGACCGGGAUAACAGAGCGAAAGCGCUGCUAAUACCGGAUGACCUCUCUUUAUCGCAUGGUGAAGGGAGCAAAGCUACGGCGCUUGGGGAUGAGCCCGCGUUCCAUUAGCUAGUUGGUGAGGUAACAGCUCACCAAGGCGACGAUGGAUAGCCGGCCUGAGAGGGUGACCGGCCACACUGGGACUGAGACACGGCCCAGACUCCUACGGGAGGCAGCAGUAGGGAAUUUUCGGCAAUGGGGGAAACCCUGACCGAGCAACGCCGCGUGAGGGAUGAAGGCCUUCGGGUCGUAAACCUCUGUCUUUGGGGACGAUAAUGACGGUACCCGAGGAGGAAGCCCCGGCUAACUACGUGCCAGCAGCCGCGGUAAU
rnacentral:rRNA from 1 species